UUACUUGGAAUAUGAAUCCAUUUAUAAAGACAAUAACUGUAUUUGUGAAGGAGAUAGAAAUAAUUAUUAAAAAGCCUUUUAAAUAGCCACAUUUAGGAACAUCAUCACCAAAUACCUAUUUUACAGAAAUAAUGGUGAUAGAGGAGGAAAUUUUGAACUUUUUUUUAAAUGAAAAGUGCAAAAUAGAAGAGAUUAUCUUUACAUAUACUCAUCACGGAGAAGUUUUGCUAUUUGCAAGAGAUCCUGUAAUUAUGCUACAAGACUUCUUUUACAGAUUAUAAUUUGCAAUUAACUUGCACGCUGAAAUAAACCUGCUGAGAUUCUGUUGUAAAUGAUAAAAGAUAAUGAGAAGUUUAACUUUUUUUUAAUUUUCAAGUUAUCUAAAUAUUGGACAAAAGAAGAACAAAAAUAUGUUAUUUGAGUUUCUUAGCAGUUUCAGCAGUCAAAUAAAUGUUGCUACAGUGUCUUCAGUCAUCUCCUACUUCUUGAGCUUACUUCUUUAACUUAUGUUAACCAUCAAAAUUGACAGUAGAAAAAUAAAACCAGCAGGUGUGAUUGUCCUUUCAUUCUUUAGGUAGAAUUACCCAUAAAUAUUUCUAAUAAAAGUGGUUUGUUUUCUUAGACAUUUAUUUAAGAAUGUGUGUGUAAGCAGAAGUGCAUGGCAGCACUAAGAAACCGACAGGAUGUCUGAUAUCAUACAUUGUGACAGCAUGGCUUUCAAAUCUGGUGUUCCAAACGGGUUCCAACUCGAAAUCAAUUUUCAAAUGGAAUGGGUUUCAUUUUGCUCUUCAUAGGAUUUAUUUAGCAUUUCCCUUUCAGUGCCAAAGUCAAACAGGCAGCCGAGCGGACGGUCCUGGCUUUGUUCCUCAGUCUGGCUGCUCACGAGGUGUCCUGCAAUUCACGCUGGGAAUCGUUGCACGGCAGAAGCGCACUGUGACACUCUGGACUUAUGCAAUGAACGUUUAAAGCUGUGUUGUGUCAAUGAGUGUUGAUUUUUCCACAGGACCAUCUGCUCAGCCGUGGUAACGCUGAUGCGGUGUGACGGGGCUGUCGUGCGGUUGGUUACCAGUCAUGGAAACCCGCCGUCACUGCAGCCGAAUUAGAAGUGAUCCCUGGAGGUGUGUAGGACGGGAAGCGCCUCCUGCUUUGGGGCGGCUCCGUGUUGGAUUCGAUCCUCUCGGGUCCCUUUCAGCUCAGGACUGAUUCCUGUCAGCGCUGGUACCUUACGGAUACUGCUUCUACCCUCAGCAUCUUUAAAUGCUGCUGUGAGGAGAAGAAUCCGUAAUUGGCCGCGCGUUUUAACAUUUCAAAAAGGAUUUUUAAGGCUUAGAACCGCUACUCAAGCACGCUUCCCAACGCGCCCCUCACAGCGGGCGGGACGUCAUCAGCGCGCGCCGCUUCCCGCGCGCCAUCACAGCGGAGCGUGACGUCAUCAUUACGCGCCUCAUCGCAGCGAGGCCGUACGUCAUCAGUGCGCGCAGCGCCGGUCACGUGUCCCUUGUUUACCUCUGGCGGGAGUUGCGCCGCUGCGGGCUGUGAGCGGGCGGCUUCCCUGGGAGGAGGGGAAGCACCUCGCGGCGAGGGCAGGCUUCCAAUGUCGCUGCCAACAAAGAGGUGUGGAAGACCCCCGGUGUUGUCUUUUUUGGAAAAGAAAAAGAGAAAGCAAAGUCUUGAUAGGAGGAGAGGGAAAACCAGGAUUUAUGUUGGAAAUCAUAUUGACCGAUGGCUGACACUGAAGGAAAAACUGGAUUUCAGAAACGAUGCAGAAGUUGCUGGGUUUUUAUUGGACUUGUAUGACAGCUAUGACCCACUGACAAAAGCUCCCAUCUGUUCCCUCCCCAGGGAUGUGAGAAGAAUUACUGUGAAAGAAGACAGAACACUGUCAGACAGUGCUUGCUUAAUAGCAGCUGACGGAACGUAUGAUGAUGGUGACCAGCUGUCUAAAGCGGCUGCUUGUUCUGAAUAUGGAGACUUCAAAAUUGUCACUGUGAAAGAAGAGCGAGAGAUGCCACCUCAUUGCUCAUCAGUGGAGACAGAUAACACGUUAGUGAUACCAUGGGAUUCUGUUUGCAUGUUUUACAUUUGAAAAUGUUUUGUAUUGACUUUUAUUAUCACUUUUAAUUUAGCUUAUCAGAAGGUCACAUCAUUCAAUUCAUGCUUUGUUUCCUUACUUGAAAGGGGAUGAUCACUCCAGUCACUGUGAGGGAAGCAUCUGGGAGAGUUUUUGGAAGAGUUGUUUCUUAGAGUUUACGCAGCAAACUUCUUGUUCAGUGACUUGUCUUCCUGAAAUCUGUGAAUGGAACAAGAAAAUAGCUGAUACAUGUGAAAUAUUGGCUGCCUUAGUAAAUAACGAGGUUUUCAGUCAUGCAGUGUACAGACACGUGUAUGCUUUAACAUUUUAGAAAAGAAAAAUGUUUCUUUGUUGACUGUUCGAGUGAUAACACAUACGAAGUGAUGCAUAAACCUAUUUAGAAGUAGUGCUGUGCUCAAGGAGGCAACCACGCCAUCAGUCGACUGCUGAUGUCUUUUACUGCAGUGUCAUCAGUAACUGAGGCAUUCACAGUUGAGAGAUCAGAGGAGCCUCAAAUAGGGGGACACUGAGAUCCUAGGACAUUGCAUUGGCAUUGCAUGGUGUGUCCAAACCCUUCGCUAAUAUGAAGUGAAUAUGUUGGGCUUCUGGAAGUAAUUCAUUGGCUCAGAAGAAUUACUGGAAGCUCGAUCAGGAGAAAAGAAAUACCAGUGCUGAUGAAGCUGAAAAUUUCAAGUUAAUUCUUCAAAACAGCACUUUUCUGGGACAACAUAGUUUUAGGUUGGAGUGCUGCAAUACUUUAAUUCCUGGGACUGACUUUCUACAGGGUAACCAGCAAGAAGAAAAUCAAGCACUUGAAUAAUGACUUUGAGGCAGUUCUUGGUCCUUUUUGGUUUUGCUGUGAGGAUUUUGUGAGUUACAGAGAAUGACUAUAUGUUCUAGUACGAAAUCCCAUGUAAUUUGUAAUAAACUAAUUAAACUUUAAUUACCUAAA